GUGAAUCAUCAAAUCUUUGAACGCAAAUUGCACUCUCCGGUUUUCCGGGAGAGUAUGCCUGUUUGAGGGUCAGCCUAAAUAAAAUCGGCUUAGUAGUUUGCUGUGUUUUUCAGGGUAAGUUGGGUGGGAAUUGGGUUCAUCUUAAACGGAAGGGUUUUUAACCGAUUAAAAUUUUUCUAAGAAUUUCGCGAAGGUUUCUAAG
rnacentral:misc_RNA from 1 species